CCUACGGGGGGCAGCAGUGGGGAAUAUUGCACAAUGGGGGAAACCCUGAUGCAGCGACGCCGCGUGAGUGAAGAAGUAUUUCGGUAUGUAAAGCUCUAUCAGCAGGGAAGAAAAUGACGGUACCUGAUUAAGAAGCCCCGGCUAACUACGUGCCAGCAGCCGCGGUAAUACGUAGGGGGCAAGCGUUAUCCGGAUUGACUGGGCGGAAAGGGAGCGUAGACGGUUGCACAAGUCUGGUGUGAAAUGCCGGGGCUUAACCCCGGAACGGCAUUGGAAACUGUGCAGCGAGAGUGCAGAAGAGGAAAGUGGAAUUCCUAGUGUAGCGGUGAAAUGCGUAGAUAUAAGGAGGAACACCAGUGGCGAAGGCGGCUUACUGGACUGUAACUGACGUUGAGGCUCGAAAGCGUGGGGAGCAAACAGGAUUAGAUACCCUAGUAGUC
rnacentral:rRNA from 1 species